rnacentral:rRNA from 1 species
AUUGAACGCUGGCGGCAGGCCUAACACAUGCAAGUCGAGCGCGCGGCGGGCGGGUGAGUAAUGUAUGGGGACUGCCCGAAAGGGAGGGAUAACUCCAGGCAACGGUAGCUAAUACCGCGUACUAUCCGAUAACCCCUAUGGGAUUAGCUAGUAGGUGGGGUAAUGGCUCACCAAGGCGACGAUCCCUAGCUGGUCUGAGAGGAUGAUCAGCCACACUGGGACUGAGACACGGCCCAGACUCCUACGGAGGCAGCAGUGGGGAAUAUUGCACAAUGGGCGCAAGCCUGAUGCAGCCAUGCCGCGUGUAUGAAGAAGGCCUUAGGGUUGUAAAGUACUUUCAGUCGGGAGGCGUUACCGACAGAAGAAGCACCGGCUAACUCCGUGCCAGCAGCCGCGGUAAUUC